rnacentral:lncRNA from 1 species
UAAUUAUCGUCGUAUCAUAAGCACCACCGCCGGAAAAUCCUACGGCGGACCAGGUCUUUCCGCCACCCAUCCUUCUCGACAAGCUAUUUUCCGCAAUAUUUUCGCCUUAUAAGAGAGAAAACUUACCGCCGAUAAUCAUCAGUUUAGGGUUCAUCACGUGUCAAGGCAAAACUCAAACAGUAACGAGAGUUGAUUGGUGGGGUCGGAUCAGGUGGGUCCCAAACUAAAGCAGCGUAUCCAACGAAAUAUAGUGAUCUAAUUGGCCAGCACAUUUCGACCAAUCAGAGUUUGUACACGUUUCCUGCACUCCGAAAAAGAUGGGACACGUAUGUACCUAAGGGAAGCAAAGUGGGGAUGCUUUUGGUGGGAGGUUCCAGAAAAAGAACGCGUGGCAUACGUUUAUGUUGUUUGAUGUUUAUUGCUGUUUCACGCUCUUCUUCAACGCGUGAAAUCAUAUUCACUCUUUUGAAUUUCUUGAUCACGAGACAAAACAAACAUGCACAUGAUAUUCUGGGAUGUUUGGCUGAAAUAUAAAAUCAAGUACAAGGAAUUUUAAGAAAAAUUAAUUAUCCACGUUUAUUCAAAUUAAUAUUUUCUUCCUGCUAGUGAAUUAUUUAUUUAAGAAUUAAUUUUUAUUUUUGUGUCAAACUAAAUAAUUGCAUGCAUGCAUGUUUUUUGUUCAUAUUUCUGCACAAAAAUGCUCUCCGAAAAGAUAAUAUUGCUCUACCUUAUUAAAUCACCUACUUUAUUACGACUUCACUUGGAUCAUAGCAUAAAUCAAUAAUGCUUUCGACUACUGAACUUUCAUAAUCUAAGAUGCAAGAUUUGUGCUGCUUCACCUAGCAGUACGAAGUUUGUAUUGCUCUUCCACAAUCCCAUUUUCACAAUUUACGCUCUAGUAACGUUUACAACAAUUGGUCCUUUAAUUUAAUUGGAUCAACUAGCAAUUUUGAAGGAACUGAAGUUGCAUUUCCCUUUAUUUCUAUUCAAAUGUUCGUAAAUAUUUUCAUGCAGAAAUUAUUUCUUUACUUAUAAAGAUCAGAUAUCUUGCAUAGCUAGUUUUCAUAAACCUUAUUUAUUUACUUAUAAUAUAAUCUGGAGAUUUGUUAAUUUUAUCAGUAUCUUCUUAAGUAUAGCAAAUAUGUCCAUUCAAAAUAUCCUUCAUGCUUAAUAUAUACUUAAAAAUAGUUUUUAUUUUCGAAAUUACUAAAUAUAUAUAAUUAACAUGUUCAAUGUAAUAAAUCAAGUAGAGACUAUAAGAUUAUCACAUAUAUAAAAAAAAUUCCACCCUCAAGUAUAUCGUGUUCUUCACGUGGUAGGUGCGGUUUGCGGGUUUGAAUUCCUACAAGGUCGCUGCUAUCAAAGAGCCAUGGAGGCACCCAGGAUGAGGACACAUGUAUGGCCUGAUGACAUUUCAGAUAUUGAGAAAAAUUUAAUUGGUCAAGUUAAAAGGUAGAAUAAUGCUCAUUGAUAGAAGCGUUUGAAAGAAAAUAAUUAUUCUGAUGUUUGUUAGCAAUUAAAAUUUGGAAAAAGAUAAAAAUAAAAAAUGGUAGGUCAAGUCUCCACUUAUUAAAUUCUCAAAUGAAUUAUCAUGUUUUUUUAAUUUGGCAGGACGUUGAUUCUCCAUUAGAUUUGUAACGUUAGGUUAUCUUGUUGUCAUGAUAUUAUUUGUCAGUACUAAUCUAUCCUUAAUGCAAGAAUGUUUGAUUGUGUUUAAUUGAUCAAAUUUACUUUUAAGUAACUUAUUUACUCUUAUCUAUUUUUUGUAUUUACUUUUAUUCUAAAAGUUAUUUUAAUUCACUUCCAGAAGUAACUUUUAAUCAAAACUAAACGUACUCUUCUUCCCAUGCAGUGCAUGUCCUUUCUAUUACGUCGCCAAUAUAUACCUUCCAUAGAAAAUCAAGAUCCUAAAAACUUUUAAGGUCGUGUGUUAAUUACUUUUUCAAAAAAAAAAAAAAAAAAAAAAGAUAAUGGCCAACUUGAUAGAAUAAUGCUUUUUUGAAAAAAUAAAUAUCCUACGUGAAAAUAUAUUACAUGCAUGCACGUAUAUAAGUUAUUGAUAUAUCUCUAUUUGAUUUUGUUAAAAUUGAGUUUUUAGUACGUUUUGAUUAAAGUUCAUAAAAUACAUAGAUAAAAUUUACUGGUGCAAUGAAAUAUAUAGUUAAAAUUAAUGAUUAGUCUCGACGUAAAUUUAUUUUAAUUUUUUUUUAACUGAAUUAAAUAUAGGUUAUAUAUUUUCUAUUAAACUCGCAUGAAAUAAAUCAACGAAUCACCAAGACUAGGAGUUUUGUUAUUGAUAGAAGAAAUUAAAUAAAAGAGUAACACAAUUACUUUGGAAAAAGGUUCCAAAAUUAUUAUGACAAUUAUCAUGUUCAACAAUACAGACAUGUCAAUCAAUCGUACAUAAAUUGAACUUUCAAUAAAAUAAGCAAUUAUUCAAAUUACACAGCAAAAUAUGACAUACCUGUCAUCCACCUUAUGUAGGUACAAUAUCUCCUAGCAUUGAUGCUUUCUCUGGUGACUUUUGUCUAAUAGCAUUCCAACCCACUAAUCAAGAUAAGGGUUAUUCUGCAGAGUUCUUUUGAUAUGACUUUUUUUUCGUCAAGAGUGAACUCAAUCACAUUUGGUGGAUAAGUUGACGUGCGGACGGAGAAUAUCGACGUCCAUUCCGAAGUUUUUUCGAGACCAUUUUUAACUAGAAAAUCCUCACCCACCGCCCUUCUAUCUCUCACCAUCCAAAAUAUCUAUCUCAUUGUCUAUAAAGCC